rnacentral:rRNA from 1 species
AACGAACGCUGGCGGCAUGCCUAACACAUGCAAGUCGAACGAGACCUUCGGGUCUAGUGGCGCACGGGUGCGUAACGCGUGGGAACCUGCCCUUAGGUUCGGAAUAACUCCCCGAAAGGGGUGCUAAUACCGGAUAAUGUCUUCGGACCAAAGAUUUAUCGCCUUUGGAUGGGCCCGCGUUGGAUUAGCUAGUUGGUAGGGUAAAAGCCUACCAAGGCGACGAUCCAUAGCUGGUCUGAGAGGAUGAUCAGCCACACUGGGACUGAGACACGGCCCAGACUCCUACGGGAGGCAGCAGUGGGGAAUAUUGGACAAUGGGCGAAAGCCUGAUCCAGCAAUGCCGCGUGAGUGAUGAAGGCCUUAGGGUUGUAAAGCUCUUUUACCCGGAAUGAUAAUGACAGUACCGGGAGAAUAAGCUCCGGCUAACCCCGUG